rnacentral:misc_RNA from 1 species
GAAAUGCGAUACGUAAUGUGAAUUGCAGAAUUCAGUGAAUCAUCGAGUCUUUGAACGCACAUUGCGCCCCCUGGUAUUCCGGGGGGCAUGCCUGUCCGAGCGUCAUUGCUGCCCUCAAGCACGGCUUGUGUGUUGGGCCCCCGUCCCCCCUCCAAAGUGGACGGGCCCGAAAGUCAGCGGCGGCACCGUGUCCGGUCCUCGAGCGUAUGGGAAGCAACUUUUAGUCCCCCGCUCCUGUAGGUCCGGCCGGCGGCCUGGCCAACCGCAAUCAAUCUUUUAACCACGUUGACCUCGGAUCAGGUAGGGAUACCCGCUGAACUUAA